GAGCACGUAGGUGGGUUUGUAAGUCAGAUGUGAAAGCCUUCUGUUCAACGGAAGAAUUGCAUCUGAAACUGCGAGUCUUGAGUGUAGGAGGGGAGAAUGGAACUUCUGGUGGAGCGGUGAAAUGCGUAGAUAUCAGAAGGAACUCCGGCGGCGAAAGCGACUCUCUGGCCUAUUACUGACACUCAGUGUGCGAAAGCUAGGGGAGCAAACGGGAUUAGACACCCCGGUAGUCCUAGCCGUAAACGAUGGGCACUAAGUAGAGGGGUUUU
rnacentral:rRNA from 1 species